ACUUACGCAUCUCCAAUAUGCUUAAGUUGUGCCAAUAUAAGAGUUGGGGGUUUCUCCGGAUGAAAAAGGAGAAGACAUACCCUCGAAGAUCACAUGGUCUGGAGCUAUUUCUAUCGCUUGCGAAGAAAAUGUUGCACACAAGGAAAAGAAGAAAACUCACAUCUUCUUUUCCUCCGCACCUCACCAAAUGAGAAUUGCGCUACUCUCGUGUUGUGCGUCUUUGUCUGCCAUUCGGCCUAUUCUUACGUCAACACGCUACUCUCUGAAGCAAUGGUUGUAGAUUCCCGUGUGUUUUUUUGCCGUAGUCGGGUUGUAUUUCUAACGUCUCUUCUAAAUCUGUCCCUUAAAAACCAUGUUCUUCUUCUUCGUGCCUCUCCCCGCUUCCCUUUUUCCCUUCUAGCCCCGCUCAGGACACAGUCAUCGGGGAUCGCGCGGUGCUCACGUGCUUUCCAUGAGUUUUCCCACGGAGAGUCGCUUUAUCGCCCCGCACACGCAUGGAAAUUUAUUUUCCUUGUUUUAUUUUUUCCUUUCUGUUUUUGUUUCCUUUUCUCUUGCUCUCGCUCUCUCACUCUCUCUCUCUCUCUCUCGCUAGUGCAGAUGGGGUGCUCUCCCAGGGUGCAUUUUUUCGCCUGUCGUGCCGUUGUCCUCUUUGUCGUGUGUGUGUGUGGAGCGUACCAAGAACAUAUCUUCUCGCGUCCGCCUAGUGUUUUGGGAGUAUUUGGAGUUUUUCGCUCCAAGAAUAUGUAUGCUCCCCACAAAGCCAGCAGCAUGCACACUGAGAAGGCGCGCAUGAUGGGAGCACGAACGUAACGGGCUACCCGCUUUUCCAACCUCCCUUUUGGAAAACCCUCCCGAUGGAGGAGAUUCCAGAAGUGUGUGUGUGGCGUGGUGGUGGCGGUGAUGCUCACCAAAUCAACGGAAAGGACAACUCCUUUGGCGGAACGGGUCCCAAUCUCGUGGAGUCAGUUUCUCUUCCGUGGUUGGCCCGAACGGAACACGGUGCGCGUGAGACAACUAGAACUCCCGUCACUCUCGGAUUCCUCAGCACAGGAGAAGGAUCAACCCUCUAGGAAAAGAGGUGCUCUACCGCACCAAUAUUAUCCAAUAACGGGACGAACAGGACAAGGGAUCCUGUGGAAGGAAUUCUCAACAAAAAAAAAGGAAAAAUUUCGCACCAAACUACUAUUGGUCUAAACGACCCGCCGACGGAGAGAGGAUAAGGGGGAAGCCUGUACUGCACGGUAGCACAGACAGAGGAAGACAAGGAUCACAACCCUUCCUUCAUUCCACCACUGGGGUUAGCAGCAAAUAUGCAAAACUCGCUUCUUAUUGUAUCGCGCCCGAAAGAAUUCACCCCAAAAGGGAAAACUUUCGGUCAGGCGGUGGUUAGUGUUUAGUUGUGAUCCGUAGGUCGCGGCGGUAAGAACUGUCCAAUUCCCUUAAAACUAGAAUCAAUCCGUGAGUCCGUCCUGAUGGUGUGAUCCAAAGGUGAAAAUUCGUCCAGAAGAAGAGCAUCGCUUUUGGAAGUGUUUUGCGGUCUUUCUUAAUGAUUUCCCAUCCACACUGUGUGACUUCGGCAUCGGCACAUCCAUUUCCCCGUCUGUGGAAACCCGUAGAUCCGAACUUGUGCUGCUUUUGUACACUGGACACAAGAACGGAUAUAUGGGAUUCUGUCGACGGUGGGCCAUUCAUCGAGAGAAGAGAGAGAGAGUGUACGACGGGCGUGUGUGAUGGCAGUGUGCUCAGCCAGACCAGGACGAAGAAAUUGGAAGAGCGAACCUUGACGAGAAGUCUUGAAGUCUGAAAAUUUAGCAAGAGGAGCUUUUAAGGAUACUUCCUGUUCCUGAGUGCAGAAUUUUGAUGUGACUAAUUCUAUUCAAGCACAAAAGACAAUCAUCGUUUUAGCAACUUCUAAAGUUCGGCAGGACACAAAACUCAUCCUUAGGAGAUCACAGAGUAAAAAGGAAAAGAGAGCUAACGAAAGAGCACACCAGUGGAACCCCUCUAUGUGUUUGUGAAUGUGAUCUGGUGUGAAAAGAGCGUGCGAGCGAGAGUAUCCCUUUUUUUGUAUGUGCUACCGUUGUGGAGCAUCAUCAUCAUCAUCGUCAUCAGCCCCAGAAGAGAAAGCAAGCUCCCAGAAGCGAGAUAUCCCCAUGCUCAAAGGGCGCAUCAAUGUAUCCCUGCACGUUUGGAGCUCUCCAAAGGCGAAAAGAGAGCGAGAGAGAGAGAGAGUGUGUGUACCAUGAUGCAUGUGUCCUGCUGCGCAUCCUUCGUCCUAUCAUCCCCACGAAAGGAUAAUGUGUGCGAGUGUGUGUGUGUGUUUGUGUGCCUGCGCUACUCCACUCUUGUGUAUGUAUGGGUGUAGGUAGUAGUAUACUUUUGGACCCUGCCCGGAGCUUUCGGGUUCCUAAGCACCAAUAGUACAGAGCUAGAGGUAGUAACGGCAGCAGCAGACGAGCAGGAACAACAACGGCCACGGUACAGCAGCAGAACACUGCGCGAGGUUGUUCUCUUCCGGGAUAUAUAUGCAGUUUAUCUUCCAGCCAGGCAGAUUCUCUUCCAAGGCCUUUCUCUGUGGCGAUCAUCGAGACACACAGCGCACUAGGGCGGCCGCAGACACAAAGAAAUGCGGCCAAACAGUUUGGUGGAGAAAAUUCAUACCGAGAAUAACGGACAAAAUGUGUGAUGUGUGUAGUGUUAUUGGUCGCUCUUCUAUUGGUCUCUAACUAACCAGUUAACAGUAUCCUUUCUUCGAUCGUACACCGUGAUCGUAUGUGUGUAAUGUGUUGUGGACGUGUUGUGUGUUGUGUGUAACUUCAAAAAAGUGGUAGGAACGGUUCUUGGUGUGUUCCACCCUAAUAAUCCCCUCUUCCCGUUCCCUUUUCUUCUUCCUUUGUGUCCUGUCUCUCUCUGUCUGUAAUUUCUUCUAUCGCCCGCAGGCAACUGAAAAGUUUUUCUUCCGGAGUUUCCAAUUUUCCACUAUUCGGUUUUGUUUAUUCAACAUUGGCGAACGUGUGUGUUUAGUUUGUAAUGUAAAAAAGAUACAAAAAGCAAGAAAUGCAACCCCCGAAAUCUCUAUUUAAACCUCGGUAGCUAUGGACACUCUCACAACCCAAGGAUUUGAAGGGGAUGAAGUUACAAUCGUAACAAAGAACGAUCGACAUCCUCCUAUCGAAGGUGUUGUGAGCGUACCGAAUGGAUGAUUUUGUGGGUUGUAUUAAAAAAAGGAAAAAUAAAAUAAUAUGAAAAAAUUUACAAAAAAAAAA